UAAGAAUCUAAAUGCCCGGGUUUUUUGC
rnacentral:sRNA from 1 species